CCGAGUCGGCCUCGCGCGCGGGCGCCUAAUCACAGAAGUGUAUAAGUCAGCCUUCAAACCUUUCAAAUCAAAAUUUCUCCUCAAAAAUUAAAAUUCCAGAAUCAGCAUUCUCUGCAGCAGUAAGAGGAUUUUAUACUCACGCUUGCUACGUUCUUUCUCCUCUCAACCUUUUUCUCGUCCAGACUCUUUGGUUGCUCAUUGCUUUUAAUUCAACAAAGGUAUGCGCGUUACGUAAUGUUUUCUUCUUCUCCAUAAAAUGUCCAGUUUCUGCUUUUUGUUUGUUUACUUUUCGCAUUUGAUAUUUACUACUUGGAAUCUUGGCUGGCUUAUAGUUUCCGCAUCAUCUGUUUUUUGCUUCCUCGAGAAUUUCUUGCUUAUUCGUGUUGGAAUUUGAUUUGUGGACAUUGAUGGUUACAGUUGUGUGUAACUAGUUAUUCAGAACGUCUCCUAACAAUAGAUAUUAACUAGUGGGAAUACUAGCUGGUUUAUAGUUUUCGCAUCAUCUGCAAAUGAGAUUUGUUGAGUGUUCCUUAGUAUGCCAGAUUUUAUCGCUUCUUCGUGUUCGGAUGUGGCUUUUUGGACCUUGACAGUGAGACUUGUCUGUAAUUGGUUACUGAAGGUGUCUGCUAACAAUAAUUUUCAUCCUUAAAACAAGAGACGUACGUAUUAACGAGAGUGAUAUAUUAAUUACACACUACUCAAACACAUUAAUUAUUACUAGAAAAUUAGUAAUAAGGCUAAUUAAUUCAGUAUUAGCUCAAUGUAUGAAGUCUACACUUCUAAAUGCAUUAUAUAUUAUCAGCUAGAACAUCAACAAUGAAGUCAAUUAUAUUACUGUUAGCUAGAUAUACUAAGUAUGCGGAGUCAAUUUUCAGUGUAUUUUACUAAAAAGUGACAGCUAGGUCCUAAAAUUGCAACAUUUAGAAAUAGGUUCUAAAGUGAUGCAACUGGCAAUGUAUUCUUAGUUUGAAAUACUGAGGAAAGUACAUUUGUUUUACUUGAUUUCCUUAAUUUGUAUUUAUAAUUUUGGCUUUGUAAGUUCUGGGUAUGUGUUUCAAAUAUUUCAGUAGACAUGUAUUUGUUUGGAGUUAAGACAAAAUUUUCAGGUAGCCAAAAGGUGGUGCCUCUGAUAAAUUCACUUGUUUAUGUGUGUUUGCAGAAUGUAUUCUGCAUACUUAACUUCUUAAUAUUUUGUACAAUCACGGAAUUAAAAUUCCAUCAUAUACAUAAAAACUGAGAUUAUUCAAACUGCACAAAAUCAAAUGCGCCACCCACUUAAAAUACAUGCCACCCUGCAAGCCAUUUUUACAACACAUGAAGAAAUCAAACUGUUACACAAAAAUUUUAACAUUCAAAUUAGCUGUCUACUGUACCUAGCUACUGGGUGAAAUGUCUUCUUUUCCUUCAUUUCGCUGAUGCUUGGGGUGAGAAGACUUGCCAGUAAUGGCUUUCUUCACCUUUGAAAUAGAAUGCUUGACCUUUGACCCAACACCUGAAAGUAUACCAUGCGAUUUCUUAUGUACAACCUUAUUCUCCAUGUCUCUUGAAAUUUCUACAAUUACAGGACCAUCAGAGCCAGAAUCUGCCUUUUUGGACUCAUCUCCUUCUUCUUCUUCAUCUGUUUUUGCUUCUCCAACCUCGGUGGUUUCUGAUUCUUUAGUUUGUGUUUCUUCUUCCCUGGAUAUUGGUUCUUCCUGUUCACUCUCGUGUUUAGCUUCUUCUGAUGUUUCUUUUAUGGACUUCUGAAGAAGGUCAGAUAGGGAAGUCAUAGUUUCUGUUGAAUCUUCCAGUCUUUCCACUUCACUUUCAGCUUUGUUUGGUUUGGUUUCAGCUUUCUGUAAGAUGCCCACCAGUAAAAACUUGUAAAUAUUAUUUGAUGCAUGGUUUAUUUCAAUAUUAUGUUGAUGUUCAUAACUACAACAUGAUUUUUUCUGAGGGUAGGAAUCUAAUUUUAGCUUCUUAAAAUUUAAAUUGAACUCCUACCUCUAUGGAAUUCAAGGAGGAGUAGGUGGUAACUCAAAACACAAAAAGUUUUGGACUGAUGCAUGUUGAACUACUAUGAAUAAAAGUAGGAAUUGGAUGCUAAACGAACCAAACUGGGCAUGACCUAACUUUUCUUCUUCUCCUUAAUAAAAUGUUGUAUUUUAGUGAAAAGUUGAGGACAUUUAUGUAUAAUCUUACCUCUUCUCCUGCACUUGUGUCCUUUGUCAUUGCAUUUUCAAAGUUUGUUUCAUCUUUGUGAUCUUCAUGGUCAGUCCUGUUUGCUGCAUCCUUUGUUACAUCUGGAAAUUUUUCUUCAGUUGAAACUUCCUCUACAUUUCUGAUAACUGUAUCUCCUGGAAGAAUUAGUUUUUCCAGUUCCUUGCUUGCACUGAUCUCUUUAGCUUCCACAGAUAGCUUCUUUACAGAUAAAAACUUCAUUUUAGAUACAUAAAUGGGAAAAAAAAUCAUAGAAGUGUAAUUCAUCCUUCUUUACUCUGGUUUUUAGCUGUGCUAUUUACCUUCUCUCUUAGGUAUUCUUCGGUGCUCAGUUCUUCAUGGCAGCUCUCUUUCUUUGUUUCUUCAACUUCCGAUUUUUCCAUGAUCUGCUAUGUUUUAACAAUUAAUUCCAAGUUUUCAACUGUGUAAAUAAUUGCAUUGAAAACAAGAAAAAGAAGUAGCGAGAAAAAAAUAUCAUGUGAAAUUAUACGAGGAUUUCUUAUUCUCUCCUACCUUUUCACUUGAAAGUUCUUUCUGUAUGGAUUCAUUUGCUUCAGUUGUCAUCUCACUCUUAUUUGCUUUAGGCUUCAAAUCAGUUGUUGGUGCCCCAUUUUGGUUUUCCUCGAUUUCAGCAUUUUCUGAUGACUCAAACUCAACAACCUUUUUGCUUGGUUCAACUUCGAGAUGGGAAGGUUUCUCAAGUUCUCUUGGUAGUUCCCUUGUCUUGUCACUUUCUAAUGGAGAAGCAAAAUAGUUUGUUUCUUUUUCACUCUCCUCAACCUGUAAUUUUGAAUCACCAUCUUGGGUCCUUUCUUUUUCCUCGUGUACUUCAGAUGGACUCUCAUGUAUGUCUUUGCUGACUUCAAUGCUUGAGAUGGAGAUAUUAAGCUCUCUGGACUCU
rnacentral:lncRNA from 1 species